GGUUUUUUGGUCUAGUUGGGUCAUGGGCAUCUGCUUAACACGCAGAAACGGUCGGCAGUUGAUCCUGCCAGAAAUCA
rnacentral:tRNA from 1 species